CGUGUUAUUGUUGAGGUUGCUGGAGCGGGGUAUUGCCGGUAAAUUAACAGUGACUGCAAGAGAACACACUGGAGUAGUUCGGUUGGACAAGUCUGGUGAGCUCUGUCAUAACAGAUGCUAGAAAGCGUUUUGGUAAGAUGUGAGAUUGAGGGGAUCAUAUCAACCAGGAUCCCAACAUGCUGGGACCGCAGGAGGAGCAAGCAGCACGCCUGAGGCUUCUGGCAUCGGGGAGCACGCUUCCAGGUGAAUGUUUGCCCCAACCCUGGUAUCCAUGCUCACCGUCGUUGAUAUGCCUUCAUGGCUGGCUACUAUCAUGUACCUCUACGAAUACCGAGGAUGAGGUGUGCCAGGAGCAGGGGUGGGGGUGGUGUUGAGUGCAUUGGUAAUCUGCCGUCCAUCUGUCCGUGGUGGCGUCCCAAUUGGGCCUGUAGGCGCAUAUGCGGCGUGUCGGAUAUGCUACAAACUACUUAUAAGCUGCCCCAGCUGGUUUAGCCUCCUCCUCUCCGCAUUAUCAACCCCACCCGCACCGUCCCCGUCCUCGGGACUAUCCUAUUUUGGGCACACGUUCCAUUGUUCUCUGUCCCUCCCUCCGACACUUCAUCCACAUUCCCCUCCCCGGCCUGUACCGGUACAGCAAACACCAAUAGUGCAACCGUUGCGUGGCUACAGUCAAAUAGGGCCAACAUCUAACGAAGGCUUCUUCGACACAGUGAAGGGUUCGGCGAGUUAGUCAGGUCACAGUGCCCAACUACCAGACAGGAAUGCCAUAAACUUAUCACAUUGCGGCGAAAUUUCCGGUUUGGGUCGCUUCGACGUUCGCCAAUCUCCUCCUUUACUACGAUCUACAUCUCCGGGAUCUCAUCCCUUCCGCGUGGGUCAAAACCAAACAACGUGGAUUCUGUUUCGUUCGCCCUCAUCUGGGGAAAGCUCCAGAAACUCCACC